UUAGAAUCAAAUGAGGAACCAAUGGGGCUCUUGCUUCCAAAGGCAAUACAAGGUGCAAUCCACCUUUGAAGAUCAUAUGUUUGUUUGUGUUUUUCCCCUGACAGAUUCCUUACUCUGACAUGGUCCUAGGACCCUUUCUUUCCCUCUCUCCUCCUACCUUUCUAUGAUGCUCUAAAUUGGCCGUUGCAGGUUUUAUUUUUGCACCAAAGAGUUUAGGUUUGUCAUGGAUUAAUGGAAUGUUUUGUGACAAAGGACAAAAGAGGAGUGGAUCCUUCCAUUCUGUAGUUGGUGUGAGUGCCAAAGUCUGGAUUUAUUGACUUAUCAGGCUUCUUCCAGUUGCUUUACUGAUACUAGUUGCUAGAGCUGAGCCUGUAGGAGAAUCUAGAAUAUUCCCUUGACAAUGCUUUACUUGCGCUUAGACCUAGGUUGAAAGUGAGACUUCUGUAAAUGAGCUCUGCCAACUUUAAGUUGGUCCAGAGAGAGAAGCCAAAGUGGGUAUUAUACUAUUGAACCUGCAGCCUUCAUUAAUUUGAAACCUCUUGACUUUGAAUCCAAUAUUCUUCUGAAUUUGAUUUUUGGAGAAAGUCUUUAUCAUUCUCCAAACAGCAAUGGAGUCCCUUUGCAGCUCAUGGUCCUAUGCUUGCUUGAGGCAUUUGGACGUUCAGGCUGGACGUUAGGAAAUACUACUUCUCUGAAAGGGUGGUCAGGCACUGGAAUGGGCUGCCCAGAGAGGUGGUGGAGACACCGACCCUGGUGGUGUUCAAAGAGCGUUUGGAUGUUGUGUUGAGGGACAUGGUUUAGCAAGAACCAUUGGUGAAGGGUGAACGAAUGGUUGGACUGGAUGAUCCUGUGGGUCUUUUCCAACCUUAGCAAGUCUAUGAUUCUAUGUUUCUAUGAUGCAUUAACAAUCAAAUUAUGGUUAAAGAACCAACAGAAAAGGCUUCUGGCAGCUUCCACAACCCUGCAGACUCUUUAUUCAAUAUACAUAUUUGCUGCAGUUUUUGGCUGAACUUGUGGGACAACUCUGUCAUGUCCAUUUUCUUUCCGGAGCUUUGAAGGCAUCCACACAGUUCUUCUAUCCCUACUCCACCUCCUGGUGCCUACUGAUUUUUUGUCACAUCUUUUUCAGCCAGCAAGAUCUUGCAGUCUCACAGUCUUUGGAUUUGCAGUAGCUAUAGAUGCUCACUUGAUGCUACGGCCGUCAGCACCAUGGACUUCCCUGCCUCCAGGAUGCAUGCAGUUGCCCAAAGGACUCUGGAGGGAUAUAUAUUAUAUAUAUACAAGAUAUACAUCACGGUCUAUAUUACAGCUGAAGGCAGAAAGAAAGUGUAAUGUCAACUGGGCUGGAUCAGAAUGUCAACAGGAAGGAUCAUGGCACAUCAGAGCAACCAUGUGGUGCUCGGAGAUGGCAUUUGUUGCAUCCACGGCAUUUCAGCUCGCCCAUCACUGCGCAUGGAAUUAAACCAGGAGAAGCCUUUUGGUGGCUCCAGCAGGUGCCUGCAGCACUGAGCACUGCCCAGCUGCAGACAGUUCCCCCCACGUGCCUAUUGCUGCCCCCGCCAUGGAGCCCCAGCUUCGUUCACGUCUUUAAACAGGAGGUGGCAGAGGCAGCUCAGUGCCCUGGAAGGUCAGGUCAGGCUUCAGGGCCUCCAGCUGCCUGAAAGCUGAACAGAAAUGAAAAGCUGUUGGUUAAGGAGAGAGCGCCUCGGGCUUCCCGCUGAGCCUGGCUGCAGCCCUUUAAUUAGGGUAAGCUAAUUACAUCUGACGGAGGAAAAGAGGCUGUCAAGUAACAUGGGAGGAACUCUUUUUGAUUCAGCAGAGAACAUUUUAACUGCAGGAGCCUCGCAGGCUGACAGGAAGCCGGUGUGUCUGGGAUCAGGAUGUACCAUCUCCUCGGGACCAUUCCCUCCCCGCUGGGGACAAGUCCCUUGUGGGAGCAACCUGUAUCCCACCCGCUGCCUGGGUCUGCAUCUGGAAUCAACCAACUGGGUUAUUUCAUAGGAUCAUUGGUACUGAGCUUUUCAGAAGGAGCUGACAGGGUGCUAAGGGCACCUCAGCCCCAUCUAGACCCAAGGGCCUGGGCUCCUCGGUUCCCAGGGUCAUCCUUGGCAAGCCCAAACCUCCCCGCCCUUCCUGCUGCUGAGAAGCUGGCUCAUUCUACCUGCCUGUGAGUUGUUUCCUAAAGCAGCCAAAUAAUUGCAGUGUCGCAGAAAAACCUACAGCCCUUAAACCCCAACAAAGUGGGGUUUGAAGAGCUGGCGAUCACAGAUAGUUAGCUAACGAGUGUUUACAGUGCCUGAUGAUAGUUGCUGGCACUAGGACAAGGGCAGUAAAAAGUGGAUUAGAUGAAGAUAAAUGUGAGACACAGGCAGAAACAAGUACUCCAGCAGAUGUGUGUGGAAAUUAAUGGGGUGGUGAUAAUAACAAAUUCUGAUUCGCCACACAGUAAAUGUGUCUCCUGAUAAUCAGUUUCUAGUACAAUACCAAGCUCCUAUGCAUGAAUCAGAAAUCCAAAUGAGAUGACAUCUCAGCAUUGAAAAUGCUUUGGGUAGAUACUGAAGAUCUUAAAGAAGACAGCUGGGAAAGUGGUGCUUAUUUUGUCCACUGCGGUCUUUCCACCCCCUCAAUAUUUUAUCUUUGAUCAUAGCAGAUCUGUGAUCCGGCCUCUUUACAAACACCAGGGGAUCUGUGGUCCAUGUUCUGCAACAGAGAUCCAUCUGAAGCAGAGCUGUGAGUCCCUGCAGUCCCCGUGGGCUCGCUCAUCCACUGAGCUGGGACAGGAGAGCUCUCACAUGGCACAAUGCUUGGCCAGAUGUGCUGUUAGACUUCAUGAGUUUAUGUUUGUAAAGAGAAAAUAGGAUGAAAGGCAUUACAAAAAUGCAAAAUAUGAUUUGUUAUGAUUUAAAAGCCAUUCACUUCUAUUAGUAUUAUUUUAAAAUAUUUCCACCUUGAAGACCUUUCCAGAUAAGGAUUCCUGCCCAUCUUUUCCAGUCCCAUUUUUUAAAGAAACAGAGAAGUUUGCAACCCUUUGGACAACAUCUCUUUGCUUUGCCCAUGCCAUGACGUGCUUCCCACAAAAAUAAUGUCAGAGUGCUUUCCUCAUCACAGAAUCACAGAAUCACAGGGGUUGGAAGGGAGAUAGUUGGAGAUAAUUGAGUCCAGCACCCUGCUAAAGAAGGUUGCUCAGGAAGGUGUCCAGGUGGGUCUUGAAUACCUCCAAAGAAGGAGACCCCAGAAUUGGCAGCCUGUUCCAGUGCUCUGUCACUGUGCUCAUCACUUAGGGGAAAUGAUCUGGAACAGAAAAAGCUUGUAGGCCUUUCUGAUUGUUUUUAACCCAGACCCUUGUCCAGAGUGCAGUGUGAUGGUGUAGGUCUGCAGUGCAGCUUUCUUGGCUGGAAAAUCAUUGAGUACAGACCCACUCAAAAUCACUAAGAACAGACCCAUUCACCUACCCUUCACUCCUUGCUCACUGUUUUCCAUCCCUGAAUCUCACUUUGCUGCUGCCUGCAUUAUGAGCAUAAAAUUAGGAUGCAGCUCUGUAUGCCAAGGCCUCGAAAAGGUCCAGCUUUGCAGUAGGAGUAGUGCUGUCAACACCCUUCCCAGUGCAGCAGAGGUUUGGGCAGUGAAAUUCAGUUUGCAAAGGCCCACGUGUCCAUUUUGCCCAUUUGUGUGGAGUUCCAGCUGUAGCAGGGCUGGGAGAAGAGGAGGAAAGGAAGCUCUGAGACUGAUGUCACUGCUGCGUACUGUGAGAAUGACCCACUUCAUCACCCGCAUUUGGUAUUUCUGGCCCAGUCCCCAGAGUAAGACUGGGUGGGGUGGGAAUAAACCCUAUGGACAUCACUGAGCACCUGCCAGACACCAGCAAUUUGGGAAACCAGGGAGCACUAAAGACACAGAAAACGGAAUUUAUGGAUUUCUGUGUUCCACCCUAAAACAAACGUGGUAUUUCCAAUGGCAGCCGACACUCCAUGAUCACUGUAUUUGAAGCUUAUAUCGUAACGUUUGGGUUGGGCUUUUCGUGAGAAAGUCUCCUGUACUUGAAAGAUAAAAACCAAAGCCCCACUGCAGCAGAACCAAACCACCAAAUCAAUCACUACAAAGCCAUUAAAUACACUUAUGGAAAAGUUUUCCAUAGCAGCACUCCAUGCCCUGGCCCCAGGCUCCCCGGGGCCUGGUAUCCAUGGCAUUUCUCCAUGAAGAUGUGGCUCUAGGAAGGCCUGCCAGCGCCUGGCGAGGGACGGCCGAGCCCAGCUGAACGUGUGUAUUUUCCCCGUCACCGCCCCUUCUGCACAUGACCUGUUAAAAGGAUUAAAUUAAAAGAAUUCCCAGAGCUAAUCUAGUGAUGAUAUUAUGAGAGACAGGAGCUCAAGCGCAUCCCGGGGAUGUCUGAUCGGGUUGUCUAGGAUGUAUUAUUUAUGGGGCCAUCUGCUUUAGACAGGGAUUGAAGUUUGAGCGGGAGGAGGGUUUUGAUGGAGUUCAGCAGCUUUACUGGGACAAGGGGGUUGUAGAGUAUUCCCUCCCCAGAAAAUAAAUGCAGAUGUAGGUGUUUGUGGAAUAAAUCUGGCACCAGAGUACCCAUGUGUUGGUGCCUUCACUAAAAUACUGCACGGCCUGCAGAGCCCUCAGGAGCCCCCGCAGAAGGGACGUUGGCAGUGCAGUGUUUUAGCAGGAGGGAGAGAGCUGCACAACGUCAGGGCUCCAGCCGGAGUUAUUGGUACACAGGCUGAGAAAUGCAAUGGCAUAAACAGAUCUGCGGCUGGAAUGUGAGGAGGCAGCGGGGGCAGCCAACAGAGGCCGCGUCCGCAGGAAGACAGGAAGAAUUUCCUCAAAAUAGCCUGUUCAGUUACUGGGCAGCCCAGUAAAUGUGGGAUCUGUGUACAGCUAUUACAGGCAACGCGGAGCCAAAUUGCAAACGUGAAAAAUAAACUGUCUCUCUUUCUGAUUUAGGCUGACGUGCCAUUUAAAUAAUAUGGGCCAAGAAAUGUGAAAUAAGAUAUCUCAAUGAGCGGGACGUGUGUCCCUUCCCUUCCUGCCCAUCUCCUGCGGUGCCAGAAGCACGCUGGCUUUUUUUUCCCCAUCACAGUUGCCUCAUCAGAUUUCUAACUGUCAGUGUGCCCCCAGGCUAACAGUGUCCGUGUGUUUCUUGGUGAUCGGGAAUGAAACUUAUCCCAAAGCUUUGGUAGGGGAGGUGCUGCUAAACCUUUACAUGGAAAUUUGCUGGAAGCUACCUGUCAGCUUGCUGCCCAUUCUCCAGUAAUUCAGACUAAUGACUCGUCAGCUCCUUUUUUCCUUACUUUUACAUCUGUCUAGAAGUCGUUUCUGCUCCAGUUGCCGGCUUAAUAACACAAUGCUAUCUACCAAGGAAAGUCUCACCCAGUCGUACUUGAUUUGUCUCAUGAUGGUGCUCAUAAUCCUUAUUUAAUUAGUUAUUAGCAAAAAAAAUCCCAAAAAACAAACAAACAAAAAAACUCUGGGCAACUGGUUCCAGUGCUUGGACUACAACUGGAGCAUUGCUUAAGAACUGUUGUUUCACACAGGAAACUUUGAUUGUGAAAAUGCAGAAACAGGUCACAGACUACAGAAAAGUCUGGUGUGUGCAAAACCAGAAAUACAUUUAUGCAGCAUUCAUCUUUAUCUGCAGUUUGGGAUUCUGUAUGGCAGAAUGUAUCUCCCUGCUUUGCUACCUGUCUGUGAUUUGUCUAAACAGGGUAGGAACCAGGUUUCUGUCUGAGAUGAGUUGUUCUAUGACACACAGCUUAGGCAGGGCGAGCUGUCCUGCAUCCUGCAGGAGGAGAGGGACUCAGGCAGUGUGCUGGGGCUGCUCGUCCCCACAGACUUCACAGUGGCUUCUUUCAGUCCCACAGCUCUCCUGGAUGUGGCACCCUGGGACACCAUCUGUCACAUCUAGUUGGGUGACAGCACCAUGGGAUGCAGCAGCUGAGUCAUCAGCAUACCCACUUAUAUGUAAGGACCUCAGGCAAAGGGCUGGAUGUCCUCAGCAUAUUCCUCUUGACAAUGACUGACUCACAAGGACCAUGAGCAACGCACCAGAGAAGCCCCCAGCUGCGGAGCCACACUGGAGUGUCUCUAUGAGCUGAAGUGAGGUGCCAUGGAGGUGGCCACUCGGCACCAUCUUCAGCCUCUCAGUACCUGCAUAUAUCUACAUGUACCUCCAGUACCUCAGACAGGAAGCUGCAUGAAACUUAAUGCUUGGGGAAGUAAAGAGGCACACACUAUCUUCUUGUCACAGAAGUCAGAGGUAGCAAGACAUUAGAAAGUGACCAAGACAACAGAGUGCCUUUUUAUCCCCAUUGCUGUAAGGCUGAUGGCGCUGACAGAUUUCUCUUGUCAGCCCUGAAGCCUCCUCAGGACUGGAUUCUCCUGCACUGGCUGCAGCUCAUGUCCUGCUGCAGGGAUGUGAGUCACUUACAGGGGCAAGUCCUCUGGGCAGGACACAGGAUUAGGAUUUUAAAGUCCUUGCAGGACACAGUGCUGAAGGGGCUGAAAUGAAGUGGCUUUUGAGUAGGUGUCUCUGCAGAAGCUUCUUCAUUUCCUUGCUAGCCAGGCAGAAGAGUCAUGAGAGAUUUUUAAAUAAUGCCUGUAAGUUGGAGGCAUUGUGUUUCCCUGUGUACUGUACUGCCUUUAUCACCAAGUGUCUGAUUGCUGCCAUCCCACAGCUAACUCAGGGAUGUACUCAGGCUGCUGAUUUCACCGUCAUUAGCCGCUUCUGUGGCUACAUGGCCAUGCUGGGUGACAUCACUCCUCAAGUUGCCUCCUGCUCAGAACCAUAUUCUACCAGGCAGCCGAAACAGUCUCCCAGUUUGCUUGUUUUGGGAUACCCCAUUGCUCAAGUUCAGUUGCUCAUUUCCAUGGCCUCCCUUGUCCUGUGUUUACUGAGUGCACCACUGAGUUCACCUCAGGAUACAGCUGGGAGGGGACUCAGUCUCAUCUAAUGUCAUCCUCAUUCCUUCCUGCUGCCCUCUGGGUCACUAUGCUGGCAAAACACUUGGUUAGUUAUGGACUGGAUCCAUGUGAAGUUAUGGGGGGAGUUGAAAGCUUGGGGUGUUACCAGCUGAAGCCGCUUUCCUGGCAGAGAUUGCUGCAUGGAGAGCUGUGUGGGAAAACACAAUGGAGAAGGAAAGUACUGGACAGGGAUUGCUUAACCCAUCUUGAUGCUAAAUGGUGUUCCCUGAAUCAGAGCUUCAGGGAUCAGACUUGAACUUAAUUUUUCAGUAUCUUAAAGAGUAGAUCUCCUCAUGUAAGCACUGAUAUUUCAGGAGAAGUCAGCAAUGAACCAACAGAAAAAUGUUUUGAAGGCUUCCAGGUCCUGUUCCUUUUGAUUUAGAUGUCUACGUUAGGCAAACUGGGUUUUGCACAGUACACAACAAGCUGCAGUAGUGGCAUCAUAAUACAGCUGCAAAUGCUGUAACUGCAUCAAGAGCUUCUUUCUUUGAUGCUUUCUCCCAUGAAAGCCUUAUAGAUAAAUUCAGGAAGUGUGGGAUAGAUGUGUGGACAGUGGAUUGAGAACGGGCUAUCUGGCAGAGCUCAGACAGUUGUGACACAGUGUGUCAGCAGCACAGUCUGGUUGGAGGCCUGCAACAAGUGAUGUUCCCCAGGGAUCGGUGUUAGGUCCAAUCUUGUUCAGCAUCUUCAUCAAUGACCUAUAUGAAGGGAUGGAGUCCACCUUCAGCAAGUUUUAUGAUGAUACAUAGACAGGAGGAGUGGCUGACACACCAAAAAGCUACCACUCAGCAAGACCUAGGCUGGCUGCAGAGUUGGGUGGAGGGGAACCAGAUGAAGUUGAACAAGGGUGAAUGUACAGUGCUGCACCUGGGGAGAAAUCAUGGCAUGCAUCAGUACAGGUUAGGAGCUGACCUACCAGAGAGGAACUCUGUAGAGAAGAUCUGGGUGUCCUGGUGGGCAACAGGGUGGCCACGAGCCAGCAGUAUGUCCAUGUGGCCAAGGUCAAUGGGAUCCCAGAGUGCAUUAGAAAGAGUGUGGCCUGGAGUACUGUGCCCAGUUCUGAGCUCCUCAGUUCAAAAAAGGCAGGUAUCUCCUAGGAAGAGUCUGGUGGAGGGCAACAAGGAUGAUUAAGGGCAUGUCCUGUACAAGGAAAGGCUGGGAAACCUGGGGCUGUUCAGCCUGGAGAAGAGAAGACUGAGAGGGGAUCUCACCAAUGUUGAUGAGUAUGUGUAAUGGGUGGGUGUCAAGUAAAUGGAGCCAGGCUCUUUUUUGGCAGUUACCAGCAACAGAACAAGAUGCAGUGGGCACAAACUGAAAUAUAGGAACCUCCAUCUGAACAUGAGAAAGAACUUCUUUCCAUUGGGGAAUGACAGGGCGCUGGAAUAACAGCCCAGAAAGGCUGAGGAGUCUACUCACGGAGAGCGGAAGGGCAGCGCUGAGCUCUGCUCUCUGUGACAGCCCAGGGCCCGAAGGAACGGCAUGGAGCUGUCAGGGGAGGGGCAGCUUUGGGUUAGGGAAACGGGCUGCACCAGAGGGCGGUGGGCAUGGAACGGGCUGCACAGGGCAGUAGGCACAGCCCCAAGUUGCUGGAGUUCAAGGAGCGUUUGAAUACCACUGUCAGACAUAGGGUCUGAAUUUUGGGUGGUCCUGUGUGGGGUUGGGAGUUGGACUUAAUGGUCCUUGUUGGUCCCUUCCAACUAAGGAUAUACUGUAAUUCUGUGAUUCUGGCAUUUACCAGGAGUACGAGUCACAGGCUCACAGAAUCAUCAGGGAUGGAUAAGACCUUCAAGAUCAUCAAGUCCAAACAUCAACCUGACCUGCGGAGUUGCUAAAACUUGCCCCACAUCCACAUGACUUUAUAAGACAGAGCUGUAUUUUCCACUUUAACCAAACCUGCCCUGCUCUGCAAGCCAUUUCUUCUCUCUCUGCCCUUCUGCUAGCCCUGCCAUGCCACUCCUCCCCAUGUAUUCUGGAUGGCGAGGCGAGGCUGUAAUGCCCCACAGCACACCGGCUUCGAACACCUGCAAGGAAUUAAGGGAGGGUGAAAUACUCCCAGGAGCCUGUUGCGCAUCCUUUAGCCUCUACAAAAUCCUGAAUUCCUUUUGCAUGAGAACAUGGGUACAUCUGCUUGCAAUCAUCGUUCCCCAGUCAGCCGGCCUGCCGAAGCAGAAACAUGAUUCUCCACACUUUGGUCAGCAUUCGCAGCCGUGGGGCCAGGAUUGGAGAGGAGCAGAAUAAGCCUGCCUUUCAGCCGCGCUUCCCCAGCAGCCUGCCUGCCCCAGUGCUCACAGUCCUGUGUGCUCCUUGCCCUACUUUCAGGGAUUGAGAAAUGCUUAAAUAAAGAGAAACUUGUUCUGUGGUGGAAAAA